AGAUGUUUUUGAAAAAUAUUGUUUCACUCCAAUAACUCCAAGUCUAACUUCAUCCUCUGGUGACUG
rnacentral:lncRNA from 1 species